rnacentral:rRNA from 1 species
UACGUAGGGUGCGAGCGUUAAUCGGAAUUACUGGGCGUAAAGCGUGCGCAGGCGGUUUUGUAAGCCAGAUGUGAAAUCCCCGGGCUUAACCUGGGAAUGGCAUUUGGGACUGCAAGGCUUGAGUGUGGCAGAGGAGACUGGAAUUCCUGGUGUAGCGGUGAAAUGCGUAGAUAUCUGGAGGAACACCGGUGGCGAAGGCGGCAUCCUGGACCGAUACUGACGCUGAGGAGCGAAAGCCAGGGGAGCAAACGGGG